rnacentral:rRNA from 1 species
UCGAGAAUCUUCGUCAAUGGGGGAAACCCUGAACGAGCGACGCCGCGUGGAGGAUGAAGGCCUUCGGGUUGUAAACUCCUGUUGGGAGGGAGCAAAUUUUGAGCGACCUCCUGAGGAAGCACGGGCUAAGUUCGUGCCAGCAGCCGCGGUAAGACGAACCGUGCGAACGGUAUUCGGAAUCAUUGGGCUUAAAGGGCGCGUAGGCGGCGGUGUAAGUUGGAAGUGAAAUCCCAUCUGCUCAACCGUGGAAUUGCUCCCAGUACUGCAUCGCUCGAGGGGGAUAGGGGUUUGCGGAACUACCGGUGGAGCGGUGAAAUGUGUUGAUAUCGGUGGGAACGCCAGUGGCGAAAGCGGCAAACUUGACCCUUCCUGACGCUGAGGCGCGAAAGCUAGGGGAGCAAA